rnacentral:rRNA from 1 species
CUAGCGUUGCUCGGAAUCACUGGGCGUAAAGCGCACGUAGGCGGCUUUUUAAGUCAGGGGUGAAAUCCUGGAGCUCAACUCCAGAACUGCCUUUGAUACUGAGAAGCUCGAGUCCGGGAGAGGUGAGUGGAACUGCGAGUGUAGAGGUGAAAUUCGUAGAUAUUAGGAAGAACACCAGUGGCGAAGGCGGCUCACUGGCCCGGUACUGACGCUGAGGCGCGAAAGCGUGGGGAGCAAACAGG